ACAUUCGGGAAAUGGAAACGUCCGAAGGGCACGUGAAUGCAGCAGAAGGCUUGCGGAGUCGCUCGAGCAGAAGGUAGCUUGAGGAGGAUUCUAACAUGUACAUUCCUGCGACUGAAUCCACAUGUCUGUUAGCACGCAAAAGUAGCCGGACCCCCUUAAUACACCCAUGGAUGUAUGACUGCAACUGAAAUGUAGUUUGCAAAGAUAAAGGCUAGUAUGGAGAAAAAAGACGAGAUGGAGAAGGACUGGUACCUGGAGGCGGCUGAGCGCGGUCCACACUGCAGGAAGUAGGGAGACGAAACUGAAUCCCUGCAAGGAGCAAACACCAAUUAGAAAGGACAAACGCAGACAUUCUAAUGGUACUGACAAAACUUGCAACUUGAUGGGAAAUGCACCCAGGCAACAAUUCUCCAGGAGGUGCCUCAACCUUAUACAAGUGCCUGAAAACAAAUGUAUUGCCAGGGACAUUUGAAUAUGUAUGUGUUUGGACUUUAGUUCAUUCUUGAUCACUUUUGCCUCUGUUGUAGCUGCCAAUGUUGAAAAAUAUCUUAUUGAAUUAUAACACUAACAAUAGAAUCACAAUAAAAUUAAGUUAGAGGCAAAAGAGGAACAAAAUGGACCAAAUUGAAAAUCAGCUAUAUUGUCUUUAGGUGAAAGCCUUUGAAUAAUCAAUGUCUGCCAAGGUUGUUUUUUGCCCAUCUGCAUUUCCCUAAUAUGUUGACCGUGUAUCAUUAUCUAAAGAUCAAUCCUUAGUUAUCAGGCAUUUGAUAACAUGCAUCAUCUGAAUCUGAAAACAGACAGCUAUGCUUUAUCUUCUUUUACAUAUAAGACACAGAGCAGACAUCAUUCAACAUAAAUAUAAAAAUGAAGUCAAAUUUUAAAAUUCGGAACUUAAUAAAACCAAUUUAUAUUUUCCAAUUAAUGGUUUCAAAUGGCAAGAUAAUUAACAAAUUGUCUUCCUAAUUUUUUUAUAUUAGACAUUUAUUAAAUAUUUAAGUAUUAAACUUGGUUCAUUAGCGGUACAGUGUGUCUCCUUUAAACAGAGUAUUUCAAUUUUUGGAGUAUAAGGCCAAAAAUAAUGUCAUGUGAAGACAAAGAUUUAGCAUAAAGAGACACAGACAAUCAUUUUAAUUAAGCCACUCCACAACUAUAGUAAAAUACCACAAAUAUGUGCUUGAAUAGAAACAUUUGUAAAUCUAAUAGAAAUUAGGUCUAGACAGUAGGGAAACAACGAAAAUCAGACAAAAUGUGCAGAGAGAUCCAGACAAAGAUAGAAAGAUGUUUUUAAGUGGAAAAGCCAGACAUUCUAUAAGUCUAUUUUUCUAUUUUUUUUAUUUCCUGACUGCCUCUGGUGAUGCAACAAAAUAUAUGAUUUUUAAAGUGGCAUGCUGUACUGCAGCAUGUGGAGUUCCACUUUUUACAUUCCCAAUUU